CUCUCUAAUUUUGGGUGUUAGGUAUUUUGUCUCAGAAAGGAGAGAAAAAUAACCAAGACAAAAUUAAACCUCUUUGUCCUGAAAGAGUACUGCGUCAUCCCUCAAAGACGUUCGCUGCAAACAGUCCUUCGAAAUUAAAGAAACUAUCAGUGAGAAACUAUCUUAAGUUUAAUUUAAAAAUUGAUACUUCAUACAUUUGCUGGGUCUUCUGAGCAUGCUUGGAACAAUUUCGGUGUGUGAAUUUGUUUUUUCAACUAUAGUUUGAUAGUUUCUCCCAACCCUACAUGGAAGCUCCUUGAGAGUCCCUGCGCCUCUCCCCUGCGUCAGGGCUGACACCAGGUGUUCACCUUCCACAGAAAUUUAAUCAUGGGUAGGUUGUUCUUAGCCAUAGCUUCAUAAUGUAUUUGGUUCCAUCAUAUUUGACAAGGCUUUCAGCCUAGUAUGAAAUACCUAAUGACAAAAAUUUUUCAAGUUAGCAAGCACUUUUUAAAAUUUAUGAGAAUUUUUAAAGAUGUUCUUCUCUAUAAGAAGUCCUAAAACAUGUACAGCCCGCAUGUAGACUAAGGGAAAAAACCCUCCAGAGGUCAGGCAGUCGCUUUUGCAUAUUGCCACACCUAGCCAGAAGUGUUCAAGGUGAACCGCAGUUCCACAAGUUUCUGGAAUCAUUUUCUUCAAGAUGCAGACCAACAACUCCAGCUGUUAACAGCUUCACGACAUAAAAAGAAUGAGACAACGAUGCAUAGCUGUGAAUAAAAGGGCAGUGAGGUAUACUAGGAAAAUAUUUUGAUGCCAAAAAUAAAAAUGUAAUAUAGGGACUCUACAGGACUUUUUCAAUUGUACAAGCACUGUGCGAUACAAAUACAAUGCAAGCCACAUACAUAAUGUGAAAUUUCCUAGUACAUUUGGAAAAGUUAAAAUGAACAGUUGAAACUAAUUUUUACAACAUUCCAUUUAACUAGGUAUAUAAUUCCAGCUAGAAUAUUUUAAAAUCAUUAAUGAGAUUUUUUUUGUUUAUGUUUAGUCUUUUAAAACCCAAUUCGUAUUUUACAUUACAGGGCAUCUCCACCCACAUUUUAAAUUUUUAUCACAGACUUGAUCAGUAAGUGAUACCUCAGUCACAAAUUUAAUUCUUCCCACAAUUCUGUUUGCAAACCACUGUACUUAAAUCCCUAAAGGGUAUAGUUGAAAAAACAAAUUCACACACCCAAAUUGUUCCAAGCAUGCUCCGAAGACCCAGCAAAUGUAUGAAGUAUCAAUUUUUAAAUUAAACUUAAGAUAGUUUCUCACUGAUAAUACAGUACACACUGCUGGGUGUCACAUUCUUGAGAGCAGUGAGUGGCUACCUGUUCGCUCAGUGCACGGUCACACACUGAGAUAGUGAUCCUUAAGAAUGUUUGAAAUUUAACAAGCAUGUGUCGUUGCUGUUAUGUCUUACGCACAAGUGAGUAUACGCUGAGUCUGCUAUCUUUGCGUUCUUCAUACAUGCAUGACAGCUUUUUCCUUGGUCAACCUUCAUAGUCAUUCUACCCCUUCUUUCCAGCGUGUAAUUUUCAUUCCUGUCAGCUAUUUAACCCAGAAACUUAUUUUCUUCCCCUCUCUCCGAGUGACUUUGGGGGAGGAAGUGUGGAAGCUCAGAAGGAAAGUUUGAUUCUAGCAUCACCGUUUUCAACUCCCAACCCUACAUGGCAGCUCCUUGAGAGACCCUGCGCCUCUCCCCUGCGUCAGGGCUGACACCAGGUGUUCACCUUCCACAGAAAUUUAAUCAUGGGGAAAAAAAAAAAGGAAAUUCCGAGUACCCUUUUCCCCUGGUUACCUUCAUCAACGUGCAAAAUUGCUCUUUCCCAUAAAUGUCUUCUCUGGUGAAACCUACUGGACCCACUGCCAAUGCUGCGACUCCAUGCUGGAAUCCUUCAUAAUAAGUGAUGUUCUACACGACGCUGUGAGACACACUAAUAAUGAAAUACAAGUGAAACAUGUCAAUAGUCACACUUAAAAAACACAGCUAUCAUGAUACCUCACUCUGAAAUGAAAGCCUUCAUAGCAGGACUUUAUCAUUCUAAUCAUCAAAAUCUAAAGGAUUUAUGGAGAAACGAACAAUGGGGCAUAGAGAUUUUUAGAACAACAAUCACACUCCAGAGAUUAGGUUUCCUUCAGAAUUGCUACAUUUGACAACAAAAGACCCUGCAAGAAAGAAAAAAAAUCUGACAGUUUAGCUGCUAUUCACUCAUUCACUUUUGAAUUGUCAAAAUUCAAAUUUUGAAUUGUCAAGCAAUUUAUGCACCAUCCAAAUACAUGACAAGUGAUGAACAACGUGCAUCAUUUUGUGGCCAUUGUAGCUUUCAGGAAUAUAUGCCAAAUAAACCUUCCAAAUAUGUUAUAAAAAUAUAUGCUCUGGUAGAUGCAAACAUGUUCUACACCUUAAAUUUAGAAAUUAUCCUGGUACUCAGCCAUCAGGUCUUUAUUCAUGCAGUAAUAAACUGUAUGAUGUGAACAGACUUCUUAAACCUAUCAAAAAGUAACUGAAAUGUCCUAUUUGACAGUUGGUUUGCUAGUUAACCACUGAUGUUACAUUUUCUAAAAAAACACUAGAUGACCAGCACAGAAAUGAUUUGCAAGAACAAAGUGGAGAUUCCUGAAAAAUUUUUGCAAGUUUAUAAUAGAGAAAUGUAUAGUACAAUAUUUGGAUAUCAGAAAGACAUACAGUGGCCUUAUAUAUGGCGAAGAAAAACAGAGUAGUAUUGAUACUGUCAGUGUUACACUAUGAUGAUAAGAUUGAUAGCGAAUCCUCAACACAAAUGAAGCCAGAAAGGGUCACAUUUUACAACAAAACAAAAGGAGAGUAGAUGUUCUGGAUGAGUUAUGUAGCAACUAUGAUGUCUUUCAAAACAAAGCACUGGUCAAUAGUUGUGCAUUUCUCAUUCUAAACAUGUCAGGCAUAAAUAGUAUCAUAGUUUACAAAGAGAGUAACAAAUACCAUGGAGAGUUUCUUAAGAGAACUGGGACUGGAACUGAUAAAAGAUCAACUACAACAGAGGAAGAACAAUAUGUAUCUGCCCAAGGAACUCCAUGAAAGAAUUUUGGAGCAGACAGGUGAACAGAUAGGUGAAUUGAAAUAAAGAUUAUU